rnacentral:sRNA from 2 species
CUUCAGGAUCGCUAGGGUUCCGGUUGUGCGCAGAUCAAUGCGCACGAUGUCUGGUCCGAGAGCAAUCCGGUCUUGCCGUUCACCUUCUUUCAAGGCGCCGGCGAGGCUCCACGGAGGGAUAAAAGCCCGGGAGGU